rnacentral:rRNA from 1 species
AGCGAACGCUGGCGGCAGGCCUAACACAUGCAAGUCGAACGAACCUUUCGGGGUUAGUGGCGGACGGGUGAGUAACACGUGGGAACGUGCCUUUAGGUUCGGAAUAACUCAGGGAAACUUGUGCUAAUACCGAAUGUGCCCUUCGGGGGAAAGAUUAAUCGCCUUUAGAGCGGCCCGCGUCUAAUUAGCUAGUUGGUUGAGGUAAUGGCUCACCAAGGCGACGAUCAGUAGCUGGUCUGAGAGGAUGAUCAGCCACAUUGGGACUGAGACACGGCCCAAACUCCUACGGGAGGCAGCAGUGGGGAAUCUUGCGCAAUGGGCGAAAGCCUGACGCAGCCAUGCCGCGUGAAUGAUGAAGGUCUGAGGAUUGUAAAAUUCUUUCACCGGGGACGAUAAUGACGGUACCCGGAGAAGAAGCCCCGGCUAACUUCGUG